rnacentral:rRNA from 1 species
UACGUAGGGUGCAAGCGUUGCUCGGAAUCACUGGGCGUAAAGGGUGCGUAGGCGGGUCUUUAAGUCAGGGGGUGAAAUCCUGGAGCUCAACUCCAGAACUGCCUUUGAUACUGAGGAUCUUGAGUUCGGGAGAGGUGAGUGGAACUGCGAGUGUAGAGGUGAAAUUCGUAGAUAUUCGCAAGAACACCAGUGGCGAAGGCGGCUCACUGGCCCGAUACUGACGCUGAGGCACGAAAGCGUGGGGAGCAAACAGG